rnacentral:rRNA from 1 species
CGGAUUGUAGUCUGCAACCCGACUACAUGAAGCUGGAAUCGCUAGUAAUCGCGGAUCAGAAUGCCGCGGUGAAUACGUUCCCGGGUCUUGUACACACCGCCCGUCACACCAUGGGAGUCGGAAAUGCCCGAAGUCUGUGACCCAACCUUAGGGAGGGAGCAGCCGAAGGCAGGUCGGAUGACUGGGGUGAAGUCGUAACAAGGUAGC